AUUGUUUACACGUAAUGCAGUUUCCUUGGCUGACAUUUAAUAAAUUAUUUGUCAUUUUUUUAAAUGUUUUUUUGAAGAUGUAGAAAAGAGCAGAUUUGGCGAUAUUAUUUGAAUAUUGGAUAUUUAUUAUUUGUUGUUUGAUUAGAGAAAGAUGAGGAACAAUAGAAAUACUAGUUUGAGAAUGUUGAGCAUCUAGAGAAGUAAUAUAUAUAUUUGCAGUUGAAUAAAGGUAAUGAAGAAUUUUUUAGAAUUUAUAAGAGAAACAAAUAGUCGACUUUUUUUUUUGAAAUAUAUAUAUAAUUAUAUUGGAGAUAUAUGAGUUUAUUUUCAGAAACAGGAUUUGACAGAGAAGUCAGUUGAUUAAUAAUCCUGAGACGAGCUAAUGCCAUUAAAAUAAUGUGUAAUGAGCAAUAGGCUUAAUGAAUGAAUUAUCAAUAGUGGUGGUUGAUUUAGAAGAAAAUCAUUAGUAGAUGUAAUGGAGGAAUAAAUAAAGGUAAUAAAAUGUAGGAUUUGGAAUGACAAUAGAUUUUUUGUGAUGAUGUUGCUUGAAUUUCAAGCAUUGGGCUCUUACCAAUAAGAUGAUGAUAUUUCUUUAUUACUGAACAAUGAUCUUUUCAUUUUUAUGUCCCACCAUCUAUUACCUUUAUUUAAUCAAACAUAGUUUUUUAUAAAGAUUAUAGUUUUUAAUGCUUAAUGGUAAUGAUAUAUAUAUACAUUUUAAGGGGAUUGUAAUGCAAAUUAAGCCACAAAGUCUACUUAAUUAAAACUGGAGCCAUUAUUACGUAUCUUUUUUUCUCCAGUAAUAUUUGAUAACAUAAAGUUUCAAAUGAUCUAUUUUACUAUAUAAUUUAAAAAUAAAAGUAUUAUUAGAUGUUAUUUUUAUAGUUAUAAACUGAAUUGAGGAUUUAUUAUGAUGAAAACAAGACCUAAUAAGCCAGUUCUGCUUAUGAUACCCUUUUCCUUGGUUGUGAUUAGAAAUGGUCUUUCUUUUCUGAAUUUAUCUUUUAAUUCAAUAGAACGUUUUUGGCUAUUUGCUUAACUAAAGAUUAUAAGGUAGAUAAAUAAUUUCUUUUUUUUUUUU
rnacentral:lncRNA from 1 species